rnacentral:rRNA from 1 species
UACAGAGGGUGCAAGCGUUAAUCGGAAUUACUGGGCGUAAAGCGUGCGUAGACGGUUACAUAAGUCGGGUGUGAAAGCCCCGGGCUCAACCUGGGAAUUGCAUUCGAGACUGCGUAGCUAGGGUGCGGAAGAGGGAAGCGGAAUUUCCGGUGUAGCGGUGAAAUGCGUAGAUAUCGGAAGGAACACCAGUGGCGAAAGCGGCUUCCUGGUCCAGCACCGACGUUCAGGCACGAGAGCGUGGGGAGCAAACAGG